CCUACGGGUGGCAGCAGUGGGGAAUAUUGCACAAUGGGGGAAACCCUGAUGCAGCGACGCCGCGUGAGUGAAGAAGGAAUUCGUUAUGUAAAGCUCUAUUAGCAGAGAAGAAAAUGACGGUACCUGAGUAAGAAGCCCCGGCUAAGUACGUGCCAGCAGACGCGGUAAUAAGUAGGGGGCAAGCGGUAUCCGGAUUUAAUGGGUGUAAGGGGAGCGUAGACGGGAGUGCAAGUCUGGAGGGAAAGGCGGGGGCCUAACCCCCGGAAUGCUCUGGAAACUGUACGGCUGGAGUGCAGGAGAGGUAAGUGGAAUUCCUAGUGUAGCGGUGAAAUGCGUAGAUAUUAGGAGGAACACCAGUGGCGAAGGCGGCUUUCUGGACUGUAACUGACGUUGAGGCUCGAAAGCGUGGGGAGCAAACAGGAUUAGAUACCCCGGUAGUC
rnacentral:rRNA from 1 species